rnacentral:miRNA from 1 species
ACUAUUCAUAAGAGGCUGAUGACU